ACAUGGUAUGCCAAUCUCCCUAGGAGUACUGGGCGGGUUCGUGAUCAAGAGGCUGACAUACGUGAGUGGGCUGCCAAGCGAGAUUUAAUCGCUCAGCAAAUGUGGACAGAUAGAGAGAGUGCACGUGACAAUGAGGCUGAUGCUAUCCCAGCUUAGUAUCUUUGAUGUAUUUCCAUGUGAUGGAACAUUUGAAGGAUGUACUGUACACUGUACCUUUGAUGUAUUUCCAUGUGAGGGAACAUUUGAAGGAUGUAUUGUACCUUUGAUGUAUU
rnacentral:lncRNA from 1 species